rnacentral:tRNA from 1 species
GAGGUUGUGGCUCAGAGGCAGAGCGCUCACUUAGCAUGCGUGAGGCACUGGGUUCUAUCCUCAGCACCACA